rnacentral:rRNA from 1 species
GGACGAACGCUGGCGGCGUGCCUAACACAUGCAAGUCGAACGGGGCCCGCAAGGGUUCAGUGGCGAACGGGUGCGUAACACGUGAAGAAUUUGUCCAUCGGCGGGGGAUAGCCGGCCCAACGGCCGGGUAAUACCGCGUACGACCCUCGGGGGGCAUCCCCUGAAGGUGAAAGCCGCAAGGCACCGAUGGAGAACUUCGCGGCCUAUCAGCUAGUUGGUGAGGUCAUGGCUCACCAAGGCGACGACGGGUAGCUGGUCCGAGAGGAUGACCAGCCACAUUGGGACUGAGACACGGCCCAGACUCCUACGGGAGGCAGCAGUGGGGAAUAUUGCGCAAUGGGCGAAAGCCUGACGCAGCGACGCCGCGUGU